UACGUAGGUGGCAAGCGUUGUCCGGAAUUAUUUGGGCGUAAAGCGCGCGGCAGGCGGUCUUUUAAGUCUGAUGUGAAAGCCCACGGCUCAACCGUGGAGGGUCAUUGGAAACUGGGGGACUUGAGUGCAGAAGAGGAAAGUGGAAUUCCAAGUGUAGCGGUGAAAUGCGUAGAGAUUUGGAGGAACACCAGUGGCGAAAGGCGACUUUCUGGUCUGUAACUGACGCUGAGGCGCGAAAGCCGUGGGGAGCAAACAGGG
rnacentral:rRNA from 1 species